CCUACGGGUGGCAGCAGUGAGGAAUAUUGGUCAAUGGACGAGAGUCUGAACCAGCCAAGUAGCGUGAAGGAUGACUGCCCUAUGGGUUGUAAACUUCUUUUAUAUGGGAAUAAAAUGUUCCACGUGUGGGAUUUUGUAUGUACCAUAUGAAUAAGGAUCGGCUAACUCCGUGCCAGCAGCCGCGGUAAUACGGAGGAUCCGAGCGUUAUCCGGAUUUAUUGGGUUUAAAGGGAGAGUAGGUGGAUUGUUAAGUCAGUUGUGAAAGUUUGCGGCUCAACCGUAAAAUUGCAGUUGAAACUGGCAGUCUUGAGUACAGUAGAGGUGGGCGGAAUUCGUGGUGUAGCGGUGAAAUGCUUAGAUAUCACGAAGAACUCCGAUUGCGAAGGCAGUUCACUGGACUGCAACUGACACUGAGGCUCGAAAGUGUGGGUAUCAAACAGGAUUAGAUACCCGAGUAGUC
rnacentral:rRNA from 1 species